rnacentral:lncRNA from 1 species
GGUUGGUUUUGGGGUUGGCUGUUUUGAACUGAGAGUUCUCACUGUCUUUGCUCCCAUGUGGACCUAAAGCUAGAAUACCAAAUAUGGUCUGGAUGUGGUGGACGAUGGACCAGUACCACGGCGCUCUGUUCAGGUGUGUGUGUCUCUUGUUGAAGAAAAACACUUUUGUGUACACUGUUAUAUUGGAUUUAUGUAAACCAGGUGGUUUAGGGACAUUGGGAGGUGGUCUGAAUUCUGGAUUUGGCUCACAGUCCGUCAAAGGAAUAACUCAGAUUAACAUCAGAACUGGCAUUUUAAUCAUUUCAUUUGAGGUUGUUUUUUUUUCUGGAAAUCUCUGUCAUGUUUUUGUCCUCAUUUGACCUCCCACAGUUCACUCUGUUGAGAACAGACUGCAGCUGUUUAAAGCACCUUGAAUUGAGAAUCAUUUAAGUUGUCUGAAGGUCCGUCUGACAAAAACAUUUUGCACAGGUGAUAUUUAAUCACAAACACCAAAAUACCUCCACACCACCGACGUUUUCCUAACGCCAGUGUUGUCGUUGACAUUGAUGUGGUCAUCUGUUGAGCCUUCAUGGUCAUUUCUGUCGGGGGUAGCACUCAUUUUCUUUGUUUCUCACCAACAGUGCUGUCAGCUUCACCUGUUAAAGUGCUAUGGUUGGGUGGAGCUGCUGUCUGCUACAACGCUGCAGUUGGUUGAUACUUGGUUCUAAUUCAGAACAUGAUUGGUUCAGACCCGGAGACACUCCCCUUUUCAUUGGCUGUUCAUAUAGUCUACCAAAACAUGGCAGAAUGCUGACUAUUGAAAUGCAUAUUUACUAUGUUUUAUAUUGAUAUUGAGGGAAAUUAAUUUUCGAUAUAGUUAUCGUUUUACCGCCCAGCCCUAGCAUGAGACCAUAUUGACAUCCAGCAGUUUUUUAAGGUUUUCCUGUAGAUUUUAAGUUCUGUCUCUGCUGCUGGUUUAAGAUUCUUUUUAAAAGUGUUUUAGCUAGAUGCUGAAAUAUGUUAGAAUAUGGUUUAAGAUUAGAGAAUGGAGGACUAAUGCUUAUUAAUAAUUGGGAAUAAACAGGAUCAGAUUUGGGAGGACAUUUGGUUUCAGUAUAAUCAUCUAGGCGAGGACAUGAGGGUGCAGUAGAUGUCAUACAGCCAAUAACCGGGAGUGAAGUUAUGGUAUCUAUCAGACAGGAUGUGAUGUGAUCAGUGACAUGUUUCCUGUAGGGGAACAGGAUGUACUCUGUCGCCAUAUUAUCAGAGGCAUGCAGCCUUGAAUGCAGCACGCAGGGCUAAUCUGAUUGGAGCUAAUGCCAAAUGGAUCGAGUCUCCUGUCUGAGCGCUGGCUUGGCUGCUAAUUACAUGUUCCACCAUCUUAAUCUAAUAACUCACUAUCACUUCACCAGCAGGAGCCACAGGCAGACACAGGCUUUGACAUGAGGCGGGUCAUUUUGCCCUCGCUUUUGACUGCAGGACAAUGAAACGGAUAGAAGAUGCCUGUGUGUGUCAUCCCCAAAAACCCUGAGCUGUAGUACCAGAGAGCUGUUUGACUAGUUCCCCUCAGGUCAGUCAUUUUGUUUAGAUCUGAACAUUUUUCAAUUCAGAGGAGACGAUUGUGAUACGAGCGAGGAUCAGUUUAGUUCAGCACAUUUCAUCGAGCUGAUGUCGAUUUUUAGGAUUUCUGCAGAGCGUGUGUUACAGUAAAAGCUCUAAGUGUCCUGAUUCCUGUCUGUAAGUGCUCUGAGAAACUUCCCCGUAGGAGUUUGUGAUGUUUAAGUCAGGAGCUGAUUAAGAGCGUCACACUUUUCAAAGACUCCCCACCGUGAGCACCGUGGAGAAGCCUGAGUCACUCUCCUCUCUCCCCUCCAGGCGUCUGGAAGCUCCUCGCUGCAGAGACGAGCUGAAGGGGGGAGGAAGCGCUCUGAUUUCUCCAAACUAAAAUGAUACCUCACCUCCUUAUUUCAAACUUUAUUUAGCAGUUUCAUUGGUCAUGAAGCAGCAGCUUAGCAAAGUCUUUAUUCACAGGGUUGAUUCACUGAGUUGUGAGGAUAUUGGUGCAGUAGAAGCAUGUUGGCUUCAUGACAGUCUGGUUGAACCGUUCAGACCCCUCACAUGAACAUCUCGUUUAUUAUCUCCUUUUAAGGCCAAAAAUCAUCUGAAAACUGAGGGCUGUGUUCCCUCAGGGUCAGCUGUGUUUAUGUCACACAGAUUAAAAAACAUUAAGUUUUAAUUUCUCAAUACUUUUUAAAUGACUCGUUUCCUCUGGGGAGCUGCGCUUUGGUUUCAUAAAUGCUUUUAUUUUGAAGUUGUGUCCAUGACAGUUAUUUGGUAGAAGUACCUUUUUUGAGCUUUCAGUAAUCGUGUUGGCUGCUGGUCAUCCCUGGAGAGCAUCAGAUAACACCAGGUUACUGGAUACAUGUCCUCUUCUGGGACCUCUCUCUCUCUUUGCAGCAUCUCUGUGCGCCUCUCUCUGCACAGCUGGUGUCUGAGAGUGAAUUUAGCUCCAGUUCAAAAACUCCUGAUGUGAACAAAAACAUUCGAUGGCAUCAUGAUGAACUGAUCAAUCAGAUUAAGUUAGGAGAGGUAUGAUUUAGGACAGUCUCUGCUUCCUCUCGAGGGCUGGGUUUAAAAAAUCGAUUCAAUCAAUUUUAAUCGAUUUCCCUU